rnacentral:rRNA from 1 species
UACGGAGGGUGCAAACGUUGCUCGGAAUCAUUGGGCGUAAAGCGCACGUAGGCGGCCUGUUAAGUCGGAUGUGAAAGCCCCGGGCUCAACCCGGGAAGUGCAUUCGAAACUGGCAGGCUUGAAUAUGGAAGAGGGUCGCGGAAUUCCCGGUGUAGAGGUGAAAUUCGUAGAUAUCUGGAGGAACACCGGUGGCGAAGGCGGCAUCCUGGACCGAGAUUGACGCUGAGGCGCGAAAGCCAGGGGAGCAAACGGG